GAGUUUGAUCCUGGCUCAGGAUGAACGCUGGCGGCGUGCCUAAUACAUGCAAGUCGAGCGAACAGAUAAGGAGCUUGCUCCUUUGACGUUAGCGGCGGACGGGUGAGUAACACGUGGGUAACCUACCUAUAAGACUGGAAUAACUCCGGGAAACCGGGGCUAAUGCCGGAUAAUAUUUAGAACCGCAUGGUUCUAAAGUGAAAGAUGGUUUUACUAUCACUUAUAGAUGGACCCGCGCCGUAUUAGCUAGUUGGUGGGGUAAUGGCUUACCAAGGCAACGAUACGUAGCCGACCUGAGAGGGUGAUCGGCCACACUGGAACUGAGACACGGUCCAGACUCCUACGGGAGGCAGCAGUAGGGAAUCUUCCGCAAUGGGCGAAAGCCUGACGGAGCAACGCCGCGUGAGUGAUGAAGGUCUUCGGAUCGUAAAACUCCGUUAUUAGGGAAGAGCAAAUGUGUAAGUAACUGUGCACGUCUUGACGGUACCUAAUCAGAAAGCCACGGCUAACUACGUGCCAGCAGCC
rnacentral:rRNA from 1 species